rnacentral:rRNA from 1 species
GAUGAACGCUGGCGGCGUGCUUAACACAUGCAAGUCGAACGGAAAGGCCCUGCUUGCCGGGUACUCGAGUGGCGAACAGGUGAGUAACACGUGGGUGAUCUGCCCUGUACUUUGGGAUAAGCCUGGGAAACUGGGUCUAAUACCGAAUAUGACAAUUGUUUGGAUGCGAUUGUGGAAAGCUUUUGCGGUAUGGGAUGAGCUCGCGGCCUAUCAGCUUGUUGGUGGGGUAAUGGCCUACCAAGGCGUCGACGGGUAGCCGGCCUGAGAGGGUGUACGGCCACAUUGGGACUGAGAUACGGCCCAGACUCCUACGGGAGGCAGCAGUGGGGAAUAUUGCACAAUGGGCGCAAGCCUGAUGCAGCGACGCCGCGUGGGGGAUGACGGCCUUCGGGUUGUAAACUCCUUUCGCAACCGACGAAGCCUUUUGGUGACGGUAGGUGGAGAAGAAGCACCGGCUAACUACGUG